rnacentral:lncRNA from 1 species
UGUUCUCUCUUCUUCAAUACGCUGGUUCUUCUCAUUCUUCGCCGCCGAUCCAUCAUCCAAACCUUAUGAUUCAGACUGCAAUUAAUCUGGCUCCAUCAUUCUUCAUCUUCUCAACCGUCUAAUAGGAAGGCAUUUGAUAGGUUUCUUCAUAUUUUUUGUGAUUAGCUUGAUGAACAAGAUAAGGUAGAAUCAGUGGUCUCGAGCUGUUUCUCAGUUCAAGAGCCCUAAUCUCUUGGAUCACUAUUGGAAGCCUAAGAGCAACGAGGUUGUUGUACUCUUGAUCUGACAGAAACAAGAUCAAGAACAUGUAUGUGAAGUGAUCAAGAUUUUGUUAGGUUAUUGGAAUAUAUGGAGAUUGAUUGGCAGCUCUGUUUCUUAGGAUUUUAGGUUUGAUAGCUCUUGGGUCACUUUGCAAAUAGGGAAAGAGAAAGAUCGGUUUACAUGCAAUGGGAUUUUGAUGACCAUACAAGUAAGAGGUUCUCAGUUGGUGUCAAGUUAGAAGACCUUUUGAAAUCCACACCAACAUAAUUUAAUGCAUUCCCUCUGCAAGAUGAUGAUAACAAGGAUGGCGCAUACGUACUUAUGGCAGAGCUUGGAAUAAUAAGAAAGGCGAGAGCCGAUGAGAAGUGGCGCCAAGUGGCAAGUUGACUGGUGAAACUGGGACCCUUGGCUAUAUUGCAACGCAUGUGAAAGCUUAUAUCUUCAUUAAAGUAUUUUUGAAAACUUCAUUUUCUGAUUAUAUGUCCUGAACUUGCGAUUCAUGUUUCAAUUAUUUGAGAUGAACACCAGAGACGGUGCUCGAACACUCGCUGUUUCGAUUUGGUGUCCAGUUGAAAUCAGCGUUUGUUUGGAGACAAUGCAACCAGGCGUCAUCAAAGCAAUAACCAUAAAGUUUGAUAUUCAUUGGGAUGCAUUAUCUGGUCAAUAACGCCUCUAUCUAUUUGCCAGUAUUAAGGGUCUGCCCCCUUCUUCACUAAAAUGGUCCAUGUUACUCCAUUUUGAUCGAUCAUUCUUCACCCAUUGGCCCCUAAAACACCCCCUAGAACACUAGGGCAUGUGUCAAUAAGUUGUGGGGAGUCCUAGACUUGUUUGUCAAUCAUCUAUGGUGUCUUAGUCCACUAUAUAAAGGACCUUCAAGUCACAACCUUUCCUCACACCAUUUACAAGCAAUCUGAGCAUUGGAGGAGCUUACAAGCAGAUCAAGGGCCUUCCUAAUCAACCAUUAAUCAUCUAGUAAGUUGCCUAACCCUUCUAAAUUAAUUCUAGCUUUAUAAAUAGCUUAAAAGUCAAUAUAUCGUGCUUAACAGUUGACUUCGUGAUUAAGUGUCGAUAGCUCAGUCGUAUGUCAAAUUAAACGUACCGUUAGAUAGGUAAUUAUAUGGGUAUUAAACCCUUAUAAGGGCAAGUACCAAUUCCAGACCUAACUAGGUCGUUUGUCGGGUCAAACGUUGAC